GACGAACGCUGGCGGCGUGCCUAAUACAUGCAAGUAGAACGCUGAAGGAGGAGCUUGCUUCUCCGGAUGAGUUGCGCACGGGUGAGUAACGCGUAGGUAACCUGCCUGGUAGCGGGGGAUAACUAUUGGAAACGAUAGCUAAUACCGCAUAACAGUAGAUAUUGCAUGAUAUCUGCUUGAAAGGUGCAAUUGCAUCACUACCAGAUGGACCUGCGUUGUAUUAGCUAGUUGGUGAGGUAACGGCUCAACAAGGCGACGAUACAUCGCCGACCUCAUAAGGGUGUCGGCCACACUGGGACUGGGACACGGGCCAGACUCCCACGGGGGGCAGCAAGAGGGAAUCUUCGGCAAUGGGGGGAAAGCUGACCGGGCAACGCCGCGGGAGGGAAGGAGGUUUUCGGAUCGGAAAGCUCUGGUGUAAGGGAAAAACGAGAGGUAGAGGUGAAAGUUCACACUGUGACGGUAUCUUACCAGAAAGGGACGGCUAACUACGUG
rnacentral:rRNA from 1 species